CUGGCUGGAGCCUACAUAAUCAGAAAUGUGCUACUGUUCUUCAAGCCACCGAUUAAUUUAUCCCAAACUUUAGUCAAAUUUUUAUUCCGGUACCUUUUUCCCAGCAGAUCCUGCUACGUCUGUCGGGUUUGUAAUGUAAUUUGUAAUUACUGCCCUUCAUGUGGUCCGGUGCCUUGAACCAUCUUUAAUUAAAAGCAUAAUUAAGGGAAGAUCUAAAGAAAGACAAUUACCAGAUGGUCUUUUUUUUAGAGGCGGUAGUUGCGCAGAGAGGGGCUCGGGGUCUGUCCCCGGGACCCCACGCCUUGGGAGGGGGCGGCGGGCCCGAACGGCGCCUGCGCACUGAGGAGGCCUUGGCCUGGCUUGCACCCCGGGUCCCUCCCUCACCCCACCGGGCCACACCCCGCCACACCCCGCCCUGGCCCUGAGGCUCCACCGAGGCCGCGCCCAGAGGCUCCGUCUUUGCAGGGAUUCAAAGCCUUCGCGGUGUUUAAUUUGGUGGCAGGCUCCAGUAGGCUAAGACCAGAAGUUCUGGAGCUUGGGGUUGAUGCUCUUGUUCUGGGAGUGUUUGUGGUGACAUAUUGGGGCCUCGACAGCAAGGUUGGCCUCUGUCCCACAAGGACGAGGACUAGGAUGCGGGGUCCGAGCACCAAGUAGCCAAGCUGAGGAGCGGAGGGAGACGGCUGCACCCAGAGGAAGCCCUCCCUGGCCUGCAGGAGACUGGACCUCCCUAGCCAGCGGCUGCCUCGCGCCUUGGGCCGCGCCAGGAGGCUGCCCUGCCUGCCUGGAAAGGGCCCUCCCAGCUUCCUGCGGCCUCUAGCUCCCCGGCCCCGCAAGGACCAGGCCCUAUUUUGCUCCCUACUCGCCCUCCUAGGCCAGCUUUCCACCCAGCAGCCUCAGACCCGGGGACGCUCGCUUCCCGCCCAAACUUUCCUUUCCAGCUGGACUUUGCGGGGAGGCUGGGACCUGAGUUCAGAGAGGCCCUGCAAGUCUAGAUUCUGCUUUAGGAUAGGGGUUAGCUUUAAAACCAAAAAGCCAGCCUCCUUUGGGGUGAAGAUGGUUGCAGAGUUUACAGUCCCUCCACACUCUUCAAACCUCACCCACAGCAGUCCCCAGUCACAGUCACAACACCUAGACUUCCCCAGAAAUCUCAUGGCUUCCCCUAACUUGCAGCCUCACAGGGUGACUCCAGCGCUUUGCUCCUCUGAAAAUCUCACUUGCUCUAGGUGAAUGGCCUCAGGUUAUCAAGGACCCACUGGCAAACUCGUUCCUACCCAUGGGUCAAGGAAGAGCCCUGGGAACUGUACCAGAAACAAAGUCUGAGGAGGGAAAAGC
rnacentral:lncRNA from 1 species